UGGGGAAUAUUGGACAAUGGGGGCAACCCUGAUCCAGCGAUGCCGCGUGUGUGAAGAAGGCCUGCGGGUUGUAAAGCACUUUAGUUGGGGAAGAAAGUUGAAUGGUUAAGAGCUGUUUGACAUGACGUUACCCAAAGAAUAAGCACCGGCUAACUCUGUGCCAGCAGCCGCGGUAAUACAGAGGGUGCGAGCGUUAAUCGGAAUUACUGGGCGUAAAGGGCGCGUAGGCGGUGGAAUAAGUUAGAUGUGAAAUCCCUGAGCUUAACUUGGGAACUGCAUAUAAUACUGUUUCGCUAGAGUAGAAUAGAGGGGAGUGGAAUUUCCGGUGUAGCGGUGAAAUGCGUAGAUAUCGGAAAGAACACCAGUGGCGAAGGCGACUUCCUGGAUUCAUACUGACGCUGAGGCGCGAAAGCAUGGGGAGCAAACAGG
rnacentral:rRNA from 1 species